UAAACGAGUUACAAUGAAAUU
rnacentral:piRNA from 1 species